GUUGGAAUAGUUCAGUUCGCUAGAGCAUGUGGUUGUUAACCACAAGGUUGGAGGUUCAAGCUCUCCUUCUAGUU
rnacentral:tRNA from 1 species